CGAGCACGUCGUAGGGACGUGUGUACCGGCGGGUCUGCAACGCCUGCGCCAGCUUGAAGGCCUGCCGUUCGAAGUCGUGCCGCUCGGC
rnacentral:tRNA from 1 species